GAUGAACGCUGGCGGCGUGCCUAAUACAUGCAAGUCGAGCGAACGGACGAGAAGCUUGCUUCUCUGAUGUUAGCGGCGGACGGGUGAGUAACACGUGGAUAACCUACCUAUAAGACUGGGAUAACUUCGGGAAACCGGAGCUAAUACCGGAUAAUAUUUUGAACCGCAUGGUUCAAAAGUAAAAGACGGUCUUGCUGUCACUUAUAGAUGGAUCCGCGCUGCAUUAGCUAGUUGGUAAGGUAACGGCUUACCAAGGCAACGAUGCAUAGCCGACCUGAGAGGGUGAUCGGCCACACUGGAACUGAGACACGGUCCAGACUCCUACGGGAGGCAGCAGUAGGGAAUCUUCCGCAAUGGGCGAAAGCCUGACGGAGCAACGCCGCGUGAGUGAUGAAGGUCUUCGGAUCGUAAAACUCUGUUAUUAGGGAAGAAUAUAUGUGUAAGUAACUGUGCACAUCUUGACGGUACCUAAUCAGAAAGCCACGGCUAACUACGUGCCAGCAGCCGCGGUAAUACGUAGGUGGCAAGCGUUAUCCGGAAUUAUUGGGCGUAAAGCGCGCGUAGGCGGUUUUUUAAGUCUGAUGUGAAAGCCCACGGCUCAUUCGUGGAGGGUCAUUGGAAACUGGAAAACUUGAGUGCAGAAGAGGAAAGUGGAAUUCCAUGUGUAGCGGUGAAAUGCGCAGAGAUAUGGAGGAACACCAGUGGCGAAGGCGACUUUCUGGUCUGUAACUGACGCUGAUGUGCGAAAGCGUGGGGAUCAAACAGGAUUAGAUACCCUGGUAGUCCACGCCGUAAACGAUGAGUGCUAAGUGUUAGGGGGUUUCCGCCCCUUAGUGCUGCAGCUAACGCAUUAAGCACUCCGCCUGGGGAGUACGACCGCAAGGUUGAAACUCAAAGGAAUUGACGGGGACCCGCACAAGCGGUGGAGCAUGUGGUUUAAUUCGAAGCAACGCGAAGAACCUUACCAAAUCUUGACAUCCUUUGACAACUCUAGAGAUAGAGCCUUCCCCUUCGGGGGACAAAGUGACAGGUGGUGCAUGGUUGUCGUCAGCUCGUGUCGUGAGAUGUUGGGUUAAGUCCCGCAACGAGCGCAACCCUUAAGCUUAGUUGCCAUCAUUAAGUUGGGCACUCUAAGUUGACUGCCGGUGACAAACCGGAGGAAGGUGGGGAUGACGUCAAAUCAUCAUGCCCCUUAUGAUUUGGGCUACACACGUGCUACAAUGGACAAUACAAAGGGCAGCGAAACCGCGAGGUCAAGCAAAUCCCAUAAAGUUGUUCUCAGCUCGGAUUGUAGUCUGCAACUCGACUACAUGAAGCUGGAAUCGCUAGUAAUCGUAGAUCAGCAUGCUACGGUGAAUACGUUCCCGGGUCU
rnacentral:rRNA from 1 species